UCAAUAUUGUAUACAACAUCUCCUCUAAUCUCUAUUUAGAAAUCCAUUCAUUGAAGUUACAAGACUAUCCUUCGAUUAGAUUGACUCUAACAGAUCAAUGAACAGGCCAUUUUCUCCAUCUUUUGCUGGGACCAUUGCAAGUUAGAGGACGGAAUAACCUGUUCACAUUUGAUAAGACCGAUAUUGCCCCCGUUCUCAUCUAUUCCCUCUUCCCAACUUCCUCAUUCUCCUCUCCUUUCCUCUUCAAUCCUCUCCUUCCCUCUUUACCAUCUACUCAUCUCUCUACACCUUUACUUCUCAAGGUUAUCUCCUCCUCUUGCUUGGUCCUUGCCAUCAAUUG
rnacentral:lncRNA from 1 species